rnacentral:rRNA from 1 species
UACGUAGGGUGCGAGCGUUGUCCGGAAUUACUGGGCGUAAAGAGCUCGUAGGUGGUUUGUCGCGUUGUCCGUGAAAACUCACAACUCAAUUGUGGGCGUGCGGGCGAUACGGGCAGACUGGAGUACUGCAGGGGAGACUGGAAUUCCUGGUGUAGCGGUGGAAUGCGCAGAUAUCAGGAGGAACACCGGUGGCGAAGGCGGGUCUCUGGGACGGUACUGACGCUGAGGCGCGAAAGCGUGGGGAGCGAACAGG